UUUCUCCAAAUCGGAUAGUGAAGUGUAAGUCGAGCUUCGCCGCAGGCAACCCUGGGUCUCCGCCUUCAGACUCAGGGUCCCUGAGUGGGGUGCGCUGCCCCGGCGCUGCUAACCCAGGGGACGGGGUGGGAUGGGAUCCCCCCCACACACACACCCACCCAGCCGAGCGCCGUGGGCCCGGCCGUUCCACCAAGUGAGGCCGAGGAGCCCACGCGUGAGGCCCACACCCGUCUCGGGCCGGGGCACUGGUGCGCUCCGAGCACGACGGGUGGCCGGCCUCGCGGCGGGUUCAAGUGCACGCCCGCGGUUGGAGCCAGCGGCUCGGCAAGCGAGUUCUCUCCUGCUCAGCCCCCUCUCCGGAGUUCAGUGUGCCCCGCUGCUCCUGGGACCCCCUCUCCCAGCCCUCCCAGUCGCGAUGAGCCGCCGGCCUGGGGCGCGAACCCGGGCGCGCUCCUCCCCGGGCUCCAGCCCACGGCGCGGGCCCCUCAAGAGCAACGUGGAGGCUCCGCCUGGAAAAGAAGUCCGACUUCCUCUCCGCGCUGCUCUGGUGCGAUCUGGAAUCGGCAGGAAAUGACUCGAACACCCGUCCCGCGCCUUUGCAGUCAGCCCUCGCUUUGCUGAAGGGAAGCAGCUCCCACCAAAGUCUUACCGCCCCCUCCCCCACGAAAGACCCGCGCAGGUCAGAGCCUACGAGAAAAGCCCGGAGCGAUCCACUCACCUGGGUGAGGCCAUAAAGAGUUAAAAUUACCAACCAUGAGAAGGAAAAGUGAUUUUUGGAAAACAUGAAACAUUGGUGAAUUGGAGUCUGACUACUAAAUUUGGGAGUGGAUCUGGACAAAAUGAAAGUUUACAUCUAGCAGCUGAGCAGCUGAGGAUGAGUUCGGCUCAUGUGAACGUGAAUCUCCAGGACACCUGGCCCAGCUGGCCAUGUGGAACGUCACUCAGCACGCCCGAGGGGCUCCCUCGCCGCCCGCGCUCCGCCAGCACAGCCUGCACACCAGCCUUCCUUCUCUCAACACUUGGCUGCCAGCCAUCUGGCCCCCAUGACUGGAGCCUCCCGAGCAAAAGGUACACAAGAAACGGGCUGAAUGCAUACCACGUCUUUUUCAAAACUGGCAAACUGGUCAUGAGAACAGCCUUCCAAGCCUUAAGGCUUGGGUUCAGCUCUCUCGCAACAAAGAAAAACAAAUCUCUGUGUUUGUCCAGAGUCUAGAACACAUCCAAACCCUCUGACUGCCGUAGCACACAGGACAUGGCAUGGAGAACAUAAAUGCACCAAAGAAACAGCACUAUAGAGAAAGCUAUUGGUGCUCAAGAACUACGUGACAAGAAGGAAAUGCGAAAAGACACGAUAUCCGUGAGGGAGGUGUUGAUGCUUCUGUUCUGACCUAAGUAAGGCUCAGACAGGGUUUGUGAGGCAGACAUUAGCUGCGUCUCCACAUAAUGUUAUGCCCUUAGCAUGUGAUUGGAGUUCGGGGGGGUCUUUCUUGCUUUUCUCUGAUCUCCCCCUUUUGUCAUUGUUCAUGAAAGUAGCUGAGCUUCAGGUUGGCCUGAAAUCCCGUGGCACUUAGAGCUCCAUGAUCAAAGUCUGUUGUAGGCAUUUGGGCUGGUGCCAACAAAGUUCAGGUUGUGCUUCAAACAGGGCUUCGGGCACCUCUCAGCCACGGGCGAGGGGCUGACUGGGUUUGAUCUCGAACUGUGCGCAUUUGGGGAGUCUCAGGUCCCUUGUUGAUAAGCCCUGCUUGGCAGAGCUCUGCUUUAAUUAACAUGGCCCUCGGGUUGGUUCGAUUUCCCAUGUUUCAGCACCUCACUGGGUGUAACCUUAUCUUUCCAUUUCGUACGCAUGAUGGAUCUGAAACGGCACAGGUGAAGUUUGUCUUUGACUUGACAGCUGGAUUACUUCCACGUUUCACAACUACAGAAGAAAACUCCCAAAUCCCAGCUCUUCUUAUCAUUUGGCAUUUUAUGGAGCAGCCGCAGUGGCUUUCCAGCUCAACAUGCCCAUCCCUCCCCCACCCUCCAUUAAGUUGUAAAGCAGGGAAAUAUUUUUCUUUUCUUCGUGGCCUUCCAAAGAAUGGACACAGAACCACGAGAGAAAUCGCUGGCCAGAGGAAAGCAAUCCCUUAGAGAAAGCAAUCCAACUAUCAUCACCCUAGAGAGCUGGGCCACCGCCAACAUCUCCAUCAGCAAGUUGGAAGAGUUGUCUGACUUCCCAACACAAUAAAAAUGGAGACAUGAGCAUCCAGAGCCCCAGCCAGCACAAUUACAUGAAGCCAAAGAACAUUAUCACUUCUGGGUUGCAGGAUUUAUGACCAACUGUGAUGGAAAAUAAAGACAGGGAUACUUGCCUGAAUUCAUCAUUCACAAAAGGCAAUACAUUUUAAUCAUAGAGAAGUUGUAUAUAUUAUACUUUUUAAAUGAAAACCCUAGCAAACAGAGCAGAAACAGAUGCCAGCGUCCUAGAGAAAAAAGAAACAUGAAAAAGAUUGCCAGUUUGCUCCUGUUUAGAAGAUACGCAAGUGAUAUCCUUUAUUGUUGAAAAACUUUUAAAUGCACUGAGGCAAGCAUUUCUAUCGUGGUGGUUUCCUGGAUUUGGGAAACUGUUUCUAAGGAGUAGGCUUGUAUUCGGCAUAGUGUCUGCUGAUCUAGGAAUCAAGUAAUGAGGAUAAUAUGCCACUUCGAGGAAGCCUGUGAUUUCCAUGUGCCAUGAAUAUUACUUUCUUGCCAGUGCAUCUGCCCUGAAGUCUCCUGGAACCAUGCUCUUUGCCCAGCAGAGCAUUCUUAGGUAUUAUUACUGUUCUCAAUGAUUGUCUCCACUCUAAGACGUAUACCUACCCUAUGAGUGAAGGCUCAUGGUGUUCCCGGCCCAGGGCUGGCACAUGAUGAAUACUUAGAAAAUAUCGAAGAGCUCUGAUUAAGUUGUGAUUUUAUGUAAUUAAAAUUCUUCACACAGAUGAUCUGUUUUCACUGUUGGCAAUGAAAAGGUAAACCAGUAUGGUUUUAGAGUUCAGCUGUUUAUCAGAACCAAAAUUAGCCUCAGAACCACUGAAAGUUUAAAAAGACUGCUUGAGGAAGGAAGGAAGGGUCUACAUAAUCCUUCAAACACAAGAUUCAUUCUAUCAAUGCUUGGAAUAGCUCCUCGAACCCUAAAAGUGAGUUUGUUUCCAGAACACCUGAAACAGAGACCACAUUUUUAUGAUGUUUGCCUUCCACAGUCAAGUUUACAUUAGGGAGCUGUAUUUUCCUUAUAUUUAUUUUGAAAUCAUUUGAGUUUUCCAAUGAAAUAACAUUCUCAUUUUCUUCCCUCUUCCCA